rnacentral:rRNA from 1 species
AGUAAAAGUCGUAACAAGGUUUCCGUAGGUGAACCUGCGGAAGGAUCAUUAACGAGUUUUUGAAAGGGGUUGUAGCUGGCCAAAAGCAAGGCAUGUGCACACCCUGCUCAAUCCACUCUCAAACCCCUGUGCACUCAUUGUAGGCUAUGGUGGGAUAGCUGGUUUCGGCCAGUUUGAAAGCCUUGUCUAUGUUUAUUACAAACGCUUCAGUUAACGAAUGUCACAUAGCGUCUAACGCAUUAUAUACAACUUUCAGCAACGGAUCUCUUGGCUCUCGCAUCGAUGAAGAACGCAGCGAAAUGCGAUAAGUAAUGUGAAUUGCAGAAUUCAGUGAAUCAUCGAAUCUUUGAACGCACCUUGCGCUCCUUGGUAUUCCGAGGAGCAUGCCUGUUUGAGUGUCAUGGUAUUCUCAACUCUUCAAUGCUUUUGCAAUGAACAGUUGGAUGUGGAGGUUGUGUCGGCUUGCAAAAGUUGACUCCUCUUAAAUGCAUUAGUGUGAACCUUUACGGAUCGCCAUCAGUGUGAUAAUGUCUACGCUGUGACGUUGAAGUAUCUUUGGUGUUCAUGCUUCUAAUAGUCUCUUCACGAGACAACUCUUGACAAUCUGACCUCAAAUCAGGUAGGACUACCCGCUGAACUUAAGCAUAUCAAUAAGCGGAGGA